CCUACGGGCGGCUGCAGUAGGGAAUAUUGCACAAUGGGGGGAACCCUGAUGCAGCGACGCCGCGUGGGUGAGGAAGUACUUCGGUAUGUAAAGCCCUAUCAGCAGGGAAGAAAAUGAUGGUACCUGACUAAGAAGCCCCGGCUAACUACGUGACAGCAGCCGCGGUAAUACGUAGGGGGCAAGCGUUAUCCGGAUUUACUGGGUGUAAAGGGAGCGUAGACGGCGUGCCAAGUCUGGUGUGAAAGGCCGGGGCUCAACCGCGGGACUGAAUUGGAAACUGGGAUGCUGGAGUGCCGUGGGGGCAAGCGGAAUUCCUGGUGUAGCGGUGAAAUGCGUAGAUAUUAGGAGGAA
rnacentral:rRNA from 1 species